UUUCACUGUGUAUAGACGUUACAAGGAUUCUCAAGAUAAGGAUGGCAUGCAACAAGAGAACCAGAUGUCUUCUCUCAAACCAAUGUAGGCCUUCCUCCUGUUGAUACGGCCUGAGAAAUAGGUAAAUGGCUGCAAAAGAAAACAACUCGAGGAGCCUCUCAGGGCUGUAAAUUAGACUAAACAAGAACAUGUAGUUAAUUGGCACAACUAAACACACAUUCCAAUGUCCUUAA